GAAGGUUUUUGAACAUUAACUUAUUGCCAGGAAAUAGCUGAAUGUUUUUUUUUGUAAAGCGGUUGGACUGUUUCUGGAAGCAGUAGAGAAACAAACACAACCAUUCCCGCUCCGUUAGCUGGUGGAACAAUGUGGCGUUCGCAGGCUGUCGGCUGCAUAUGGACGUGUGAGCGUGAUGAAGUGCGUGUUUAUUAAAGUGCAUAUAAGAUGAGUUUCAUCAAUCCUUACUGUCCUUCCAGAAGACUUACAGCGGUGUGAACAUUUCAAUGCUUCAUUCAUAUUCAGAGGAUUUGCUGCCAGCUGGAAACUGACCAUAUUUAAUGUGAAUUAUUUGAAUUCUGAUUCAA